UAUUCACUUGCAGAAAAUUUCCCUUUCAGAAGAAAAACAAUUCUCUUCGAUCUAUUCUCCACUGAGAUCUCUUCGUUAAAUCUCCAUUCCUCUUCUCAAUCGAAAUUAUUUGUUCAACUAAUCUUUACUAGGUUCCGAAUUUAGGGUUCAGGAUUUUGAUUUGAUCGAAUAUUCAAUCAUCAUCUAACCUGUAACCCUAAACUCGAAAUUAGGUGAAUUGGUUGAAUUAGUUCCACGUUGAUUACUUUACGAAUCAUCAACCAUAUGUUUUCUAACUCGAAGUUUAGAUUUGGAAAAAAAUUCUUAUCGAUGAACUAUUUGAGGUUAAUGCUUUUUGCUGGAGUCGAAUUCAAUUGUUUUGGAAUAGAUUAUCGGCGAUGUUUAUGCAUAGGGUAGUAAAGAUAGAAAUUGAAAUGUUGCAGACCCCAAUCUGGGUAAGAUGGUAGUUUAUGGCGCUUCUUAUCCUGCCAUCUCCAUGGGUUCAGUGCCAUAACCCCCUUAUCGUCUCAGGUUUGACUAAAUUAUCAGCUAUUGGAUUCUUGGUUUUAAAUUGGACUUUUCUGCUUUCUUGACUCAGGCUUGUCCUUAAGGGCAGGAUACUAGCCUAAGAGCAACCACAGUCACGACUAAUAUUGGGGACUACACCCAAAUUUGGUCCGAAAGCGCAGUAGGACGGACCAUAGGUAUAUUUAGUCUGGAAAACUAAGGUUUGAGACUAAAUGUAGUCGUCAACCCAGACUAAAUCAACAUAUAGUGGGGCGUAAGUAUUGAGAGCAUGUGCGUUUAGGCGAGAGUAUACUGACCGUUUCAUUUUAGGCGUAACGUACGAGAGUUGAGUAGAGAUAAAAUAGGUGUCUGAAUGAGGCGCACUUAUAAAACCCGCCGGGAAAUAUAUAUGCAAUACAUUGUGAGGCGCUAAUAUAAUGUUCGCCUGGUGUGGGGGCGAUGUUUUAAUGUUCGCCUGAUGUAAAUCACACCCCACUACAUGAAGCUAAUAAGUCAGCCCCUCAACAGGCUUGCUUUCUAUCUCCGUGUCACAUCUGGCGUGGGUAAUAAAUACGCCUCACAUUAAGCGGCCACAAUACCUGCGUUCCAUUCACACGGAUACAAUACAUGCGCCUCACCGUCAAGCGCCCAUAAUAUGUGCGUCCAGCUUCAAGCGUUGUUUUAAUGUCCGCUAGACUAAAUUUUAGUCGUUUGCCAUUGCGGUUCACCUCAAAAAAAGCCAAGUUUUUUUAGCUUUUAGUAUGGCAUUUGGUCUUUAGUCCCCCUCAUGACUGUGGUUGCUCUUAGGUGUUAUAAAAAUGCAGGGAAAGGGGAAGAAUGCAUUUGGCAGGACAGCCAUUAGUCUUGAUUCGGGUAUUUUUAGUUUCUAAACACCUCUAUCCCAUUAUACAUUUAAGUGAAAUUUCUUCUUUUAUAAAAUCCCAAAGUUACUUUAAUUGCCGCUUUAUAGGCAUGUCUUAGUGGAUAAGUUUUUUUCUUUUUCAUGAAGCUUAGUAGAUAAAAGCGUAAUCAAAGAGCCUAUGGUUUCACAUAUCGGUAAAGCUCAUCUUCUUUGCUUAUAAAUUUCUUUUGAAAAUUAGUUUAUAAAGUAUACUUAGCACUUAAGGUUAUAAAAAAAAUCCACCAAUACAUGUUAAUAUGCUCUUAGUCUUGCAUUUAAGGUUCAAG